UACGUAGGGGGCAAGCGUUGUCCGGAAUCAUUGGGCGUAAAGAGCGUGUAGGCGGCCCGAUAAGUCCGCUGUGAAAGUCCCAGGGCUCAACCCUGGGAUGCCGGUGGAUACUGUCGGGCUCGAGUCCGGAAGAGGAGUUGUGGAAUUCCUGGUGUAGCGGUGAAAUGCGCAGAUAUCAGGAGGAACACCAGUGCGGAAGGCAGCACUCGUCG
rnacentral:rRNA from 1 species